UGCUGGAGCGCGCACACCCCGGAGUGAAAAAUAUAGUAACAGGAAAGAUUUAGUUCUUAAAAUAAGUCAGCAGCCCAGUGAAGCCAACACUGCCGUGGCAGGUAUGUUUUCUUGCUCGAGCUGAUGGAGAAGGGCAUUAACUGCCCACAGGCAUCCGGCGACAGAUCAAACGAUAAAAAUACACAAUUAAAUGAAGGCACGCAGCAGGCCUGGCCUCAGGAGACCAUGAGAGCCUAUGGGCUCAGGGGUCUGGGGUCUGCACCGAUGCUCCUCUGGGAUGACUGUCGUGUAAAUGCGCAGUAGUCACGUGGACACCCUCUUCGUUGUCUGGUUGGCUCUUUGCGAAGGAGGAGGGCCCUGGUCCCAAAGGAACAGCCACCUUUCCUGGCCCCAGUGUUCACCUGUUGGGACGGGGCUCACCUUUGUUACCUAGGACUGUCAGAGUCAGAGAUCACCUUGCGUUUUCAUCUGUUGCUCAAGGCUUGAGCCUCCUGAAGCAGGAUCUCUGAGCUUUGGGAUGCAAAGGACAUUUGUCAACUCAGCCUGUAACCUAGCAGGCCGUUUGGUGUCAUCGGUUUCAGAGGUAAGAAGAUAAAGAGCUAGAGACAGGUGAUUUAUGCUCUUAGCCCAGCAAGCAAUUUGUUGAAGAGAUGCCACGUUUCU